rnacentral:ncRNA from 2 species
AUUAAAUAAUAGCUAGUAGGUGUUUUUAAAACUUAAAAGGGAAGACGGUGAAAAUCCGCCACAGCCCCCGCUACUGUAAGUGAUGAUGAAAUCAGUAAAAACCACUCAAGAUAAUUGCUUGGGGAAGGUGCUGAAAGUAAAGUGACUCACAAGUCAGGAGACCUGCCUAUUAGUAUACGUACUU